rnacentral:rRNA from 1 species
AUGGGAUUCUAUAGUCUACAUGAAUCCCUUCAUCAUGAGGUCACCAAACUUCUCUCCAGAUUCUUCUGGGGUGGAGAGAAUAAUAAACAGAAGUACCACAUGGUGAAGUGGUCCGACAUUUCCAAGCCUAAGGACCAAGGCGGCCUCGGGGUCAUUUCAUCCAAACGGAUGAAUAUUUCCCUCCUCUCCAAAUGGCUUUGGCGCAUUCAGACCAAUGAGGGUGGACUGUGGCUGGAGAUUAUCCACGCGAAGUACCUUCGAGGGCAACCGCUGGCCUUUGCCUCCAGAUCUGCAGGGUCCCAAUUCUGGCAAUCGGUGAUCCGACUGAUGCCGGUCUUGCGUAUUGGGACCUCCAUUAAAGUGGGCUCCGGGCCCGGUACCCUAUUCUGGCUUGAUAGAUGGGCCGAGACCCGACCUUUUGCGGAGCGGUUCUACGCGUUAUUCUCGAUUUGUGCCCGCUCACAGCUUUCAGUGGCCGUGGCUUUGGCUGACAUGGGCGCUAUCGCCUUCCGCCGUACCUUCAGGGCGGUGGCGCACGCGCAAUGGGAGGAAUUACUCGAGUGUGUUGCCCUCCACUCCCCCUCCCUUGAGCCCGAUACGCUGUCUUGGCAUCUCGAACCAAGCAGCCGAUUCUCUACUAGGUCCCUAUAA